rnacentral:rRNA from 1 species
UACGUAGGGGGCAAGCGUUGUCCGGAAUCAUUGGGCGUAAAGAGCGCGCAGGCGGUAUGACAAGUCAGAUGUGAAAGAGGCCGGCUUAACCGGCAAGGGUCAUUUGAAACUGUCAGACUAGAGUGCAGCAGAGGAUAGUGGAAUUCCCGGUGUAGUGGUGAAAUGGCGUAGAUAUCGGGAGGAACACCAGUGGCGAAGGCGACUAUCUGGGCUGCAACUGACGCUGAGGCGCGAAGGCUAGGGUAGCAAACAGG